GACGAACGCUGGCGGCGUGCUUAACACAUGCAAGUCGAGCGGUAAGGCCCUUUCGGGGGUACACGAGCGGCGAACGGGUGAGUAACACGUGGGUGACCUGCCCUCAGCUCUGGGAUAAGCCUGGGAAACUGGGUCUAAUACCGGAUAUGACUCCAUGACGCAUGUUGUGGGGUGGAAAGCCUUGUGCGGCUGAGGAUGGGCCCGCGGCCUAUCAGCUUGUUGGUGGGGUGANGGCCUACCAAGGCGACGACGGGUAGCCGGCCUGAGAGGGCGACCGGCCACACUGGGACUGAGACACGGCCCAGACUCCUACGGGAGGGCAGCAGUGGGGAAUCUUGCGCAAUGGGCGAAAGCCUGACGCAGCGACGCCGCGUGAGGGAUGACGGCCU
rnacentral:rRNA from 1 species